rnacentral:lncRNA from 1 species
CAACUUCAUUUCAUGGAUCAGUGAUCAAGGUUUAGUUUGCAUGGUCCAGUCCAUAUCUCAGAUAAUAGAAGCAAUGUCAACUAUAUUUAGUGAAUAGAAUGAUUGUAAUGUGUAUGUGUCUGACUGGCAGAUGUCAUGUGACCUUUAUGUCAUUUUCAUGGUUUAUUGGACAAUGUUUAAAUAGUUUUUGUGGUUCUAUCUUUUUCUCAGAUACUAUAAUCAAUAAGGCAACUAUAUUUGGUGAAUGAGGG